UGGGGAAUUUUGGACAAUGGGGGCAACCCUGAUCCAGCAAUGCCGCGUGUGUGAAGAAGGCCUUCGGGUUGUAAAGCACUUUUGUCCGGAAAGAAAACCAUCGCCCUAAUAUGGUGGUGGGAUGACGGUACCGGAAGAAUAAGCACCGGCUAACUACGUGCCAGCAGCCGCGGUAAUACGUAGGGUGCGAGCGUUAAUCGGAAUUACUGGGCGUAAAGCGUGCGCAGGCGGUCUGUUAAGACCGAUGUGAAAUCCCCGGGCUUAACCUGGGAACUGCAUUGGUGACUGGCAGGCUUUGAGUGUGGCAGAGGGGGGUAGAAUUCCACGUGUAGCAGUGAAAUGCGUAGAGAUGUGGAGGAAUACCGAUGGCGAAGGCAGCCCCCUGGGCCAACACUGACGCUCAUGCACGAAAGCGUGGGGAGCAAACAGG
rnacentral:rRNA from 2 species